rnacentral:rRNA from 1 species
GACGAACGCUGGCGGCGUGCUUAACACAUGCCAGUCGAACGGAAAGGCCUGCUUUCCCUUGUGGAUUGCGGGUACUCGAGUGGCGAACGGGUGAGUAACACGUGAGUGAUCUGCCCCCAACUUGGGUAUAAGCCUGGGAAACUGGGUCUAAUUCCCGAUAGGACUGCAGGGUGGUGCCUGUGGUGGAAAACGAUUUUCUAGUGGUUGGGGAUGAGCUCGCGGCCUAUCAGCUUGUUGGUGGGGUAAUGGCCUACCAAGGCGGCGACGGGUAGCCGGCCUGAGAGGGUGGACGGCCACAUUGGGACUGAGAUACGGCCCAGACUCCUACGGGAGGCAGCAGUGGGGAAUAUUGCACAAUGGGCGGAAGCCUGAUGCAGCGACGCCGCGUGGGGGAUGACGGCCUUCGGGUUGUAAACUCCUUUCGGCCGCGAGGAAGCCACCUGGUUGGAAGGGUGGUGACGGUAGUGGUAGAAGAAGCACCGGCUAACUACGUG